UUCUCAGCGCCUGCUUUCCUUGCCUUCAGAAGCAGC
rnacentral:piRNA from 1 species